AACGAACGCUGGCGGCGCGCCUAAUACAUGCAAGUCGAGCGAGAAGACGUAGCAAUACGUUUGUAAAGCGGCGAACGGGUGAGGAAUACAUGGGUAACCUACCCUCGAGUGGGGAAGUAACUAGCCGAAGGUUAGCUAAUACCGCGUACGCUCCUUGGACUUCGGUUCAGGGAGGAAAGCGAUACCGUGGGUAUCGCGCUCUUGGAUGGGCUCAUGUCCUAUCAGCUUGUUGGUGAGGUAACGGCUCACCAAGGCUUCGACGGGUAGCUGGUCUGAGAGGACGAUCAGCCACACUGGCACUGCGACACGGGCCAGACUCCUACGGGAGGCAGCAGUAAGGAAUAUUGCGCAAUGGGCG
rnacentral:rRNA from 1 species